rnacentral:rRNA from 1 species
AUUGAACGCUGGCGGCAGGCCUAACACAUGCAAGUCGAACGAGUGGCGGACGGGUGAGUAAUGUCUGGGAAACUGCCCGAUGGAGGGGGAUAACUACUGGAAACGGUAGCUAAUACCGCAUACCAUCGGAUGUGCCCAGAUGGGAUUAGCUAGUCGGUGGGGUAACGGCUCACCUAGGCGACGAUCCCUAGCUGGUCUGAGAGGAUGACCAGACAGACUGGAAAUGGGACAGGGUCCAGACGCCUAGGGGAGGCAGCAGUGGGGAAUAUUGCACAAUGGGCGAAAGCCUGAAGCAGCCAUGCCGGGUGUAUGAAGAAGGCCUUCGGGUUGUAAAGUACUUUCAGCGAGGAGGCGUUACUCGCAGAAGAAGCACCGGCUAACUCCGUGCAAGCCGCCGCGUAAUUC